UCACUGGAGGGGAGAUACCAUGAUUACAAAGGCAGUUUUCCCAGGGGGAAGCUUAUCCAGUGCACUCUGGAUGUGCUGACCCCUGCGAUUUCCCCAAAUGUUGGAAACUCGACUGCACAGUUAGUGGUAGUGGGGGACUGCUUCAUGCUCUCCCCCA